rnacentral:lncRNA from 1 species
AACUGUUGUACGGUGCAACAGUUUUUGUUUUUAUUCAACAAAGCCGUUGGAUGCCUCCUUAUCAGAUCUAAUGGCUGAAAUUAAUUAUUACAUAAUUGAUCCAGCUACUUACAACCGUUGUGGCCGGUUGUAAUUCUUGUGCUGAUCGAAUCACUUAAACCCUCAAUUCAAUUCUCCGAAUUCGCAGACCCAAUCUCUAUUUUCCAUUUUGAUUGCCGCUAAAUCCGCUGCUGCAAAUACCUCCAUCGUUUGAGAGUUCAUUUGCACUGACUAUAUUGUUGUCGUUGCCCUUCUUUUAUCUUCUUGUUUCUCAUUUGAGUCAUUCAUUUUUUCUCGAUUUCUUAUUGGUUUUUGCCUUCUUCGCAGAUUUAUUGUUAUCUCUAAAUCUCGCUCUUUCUCAUUUGCCUUCUAUCCAUUUGUUCUUUAUCUGUUCUUUCUCAAUUAACUAAACACAUCUAAAUUAUAAAAGCUCCAACACCAGAUUCAAAAUCUCACUGUUUUCUUAUUAUCAAGUUAAAAUACUUCGUGAAUCUAGUAACAAUAAUUAGAUCGAUUGUACUCGACUUCGAUUUUCGCCCAAACCAACAACAUAAAUUCAUACAAAGAGAAUAAAUAAAAUAAAAAGCAUAAAGAGAGAAGAGGAUACUAUUUUGCAGAAGCAGACCAGAAAUUCUAAAAAUCUCAUUUGCUGUUGCUAAGAAUAGAGAGAGAUAAGAUUGGCUGAGCUAAAUGCCCUCGUUUAUUCAUUAUUGUGUUGGUGGUAAUUUAUAUAUUCUGCUAAUAUAUAAAUUUGAUGUAAUAGAUUUUCUCUUCGGAAGCUAACCGGGGCUCGUGUAGGAAGAAAUCAUCUUCAUGGUUCGUGAUCGUCAAGUGUUUGGUUUGACCAAGUCGUGGACUAAAUCAAAACCAAACAAAAAGACUUUUAUUUUAACCAGAAAAAUAAAAAUUAAAAGAAAAUCAACAACUACAACCGCCCAAAAGAAAAAAAAAACAACAGGGUGAAAUGAUUUGUUUGAAAGAAAAAAAGAGAAUGAGAGUGACUCACUUGGUGGGCUGUGUAGACCCGGCGAGUUGAUUUGAGUUGAAAAAUGGAAUAUUGAAAUUUGAAUAGAUAUGGGGAUUGUGAUUUAGAAUAAGAGAGAAAGAAAAGGAGGAGAAAAUGAGGGGGGGAAACAGAGAAACCCUAGAUACAUAUUAGAAGAGAGUGGAUGAGUGAUAAUUGAUAAAAGAUAAAACUUUUCAGUCCUUUUUUGCAAUCUCCGACGAAUCCAGCCAAAAGUGUGUGACAGUAGAGCAUUCGCUUCAGCCCUCUUCACAAAAUGUCUCAAGCUUCGACUCGCCAAAUUUUUCUUUCUCCGAUGAAGGAACAACCUCUGGGAAUCGAUUCCUUCAUCCAUUUGGCCUUUUGCCAGGGGCUUCUUUCGACCAUCAUCUCCUUUCUUUUUCGUCAAACUCCUUUAACAUAACAGUCACGUGCGUUUUCAGAUGCAAGUAACUUACCUUUUCUUAACCGACUUCUCUGGUAUCCUCUAACACAAACGUGGCCAUCUCUGAAGCAUUCGAUCGGUUACUUUUAAAUUGAAUGGUUACAUUGAAUAAGGACAAACAACUGUUGCACCGUACAACAGUUGUAACAUAGGCGGACCCAAACCAAUUAAAGAGGGAAUUGAAGAAAUAUUUCCUCUGAAAAUUCACAGUAAAUUUACCCUCCAUGUUAUUAUCGUUAGACAUUUAAAAGUAGGAUUGAAUUCCCAAGAAGGAUGUAGAGCUUAGAAUCCUUGGCCACACAAGCACCGAAGGAUAUAUGAGUAAAAUCCUUAGAAGUACAUUGUUCGAUUAAGGGGCUAUCAUAUUACGUUUAGUGAAAUUAUUUUAUUUUAAAAUAAUGGUUUUAAUAUUUUUUUAAUUUUAUUUUUUUUAGAAUUACGCAAAUAAUCUGAUUACAUUAUGUAAAUAAUUAUUUAAAAUUUUGAGAGUUAUCCUAAACCAACAAGGAAUCCUAAAGUAACAAGGAAUUCUGAAGGAAUAAGGAAACUCAUGAUGAGCCUAUAAAUAAGGGCUACAUUUUAACAUUAGGGAUUUGUUUAUUUUUCUCCAAGACUCUCUGAGACUGCGACAUCAAGGCUUGUUCUUGCUCUACAAAUUGAAACAAUGGCAGCAGCUGCUCAAGCGCAACAAUCCGAUAGUUUGUCAGUAAACAGCCGAUUUGCUACGGGUACCCCUUACCCAAACCAUCUCUUGAAUUUGCUGAAGAUAGCCCUAAGAAGGACAAUUAUAUAUACCUCCCAAUAAAAAAAAAUUAAAGAGAAAUCAACGAAUAUAAAAAAUGAAAAGAAAUUGCAGCGGGUAUUCCGAAAAGCCGCAAGAUUAGAGACAGAGCUUGAAAAGUAUUACGUCAGAAAGAAAAUUAUAAAGUGGGUCGUAGAAGACUAUACGCGGAUUGAUGGUGAUGAUCCUCGGAAGAAGAAGCUAAGGAAAAUACAUAUCACACUCUUGAUCAAUUCGCUUGAGUUGGGAUAUUGAUAUCUCACUCACAUUUUGAGUUUUUGGAUGUAUCUUUCUUUUUGUAAUAAAAACAUUUAUUCUUAGGGAUAUGAAACACUUCAUCAAAGAAAUUCUUGAUGGUUGAUGGUUGAUGCUUGAUGCUUGGAGGUAACACUUUGAAAGGCAAUUUUUAUGUAAGAGAUUUGAGUAGUUAUUUAAAUUUUAUAUCUUUUUUAUAUUGAUCACAUUCACAUCUCCUUCCAGAAUUUCUGAAGGAGAAAAUUUUUCUUUAAGCAAUGAUCCCCUAAAAUUUGGAUGAGAUCAUCACACAUAAUAAAAUCCCCGGACAAGAGUUUAUGUAAUAUUUAAUUUAAUUCCCGUGAGAUUAAUGAAUGCUGCUGUUCUUAAUGUUAAACUGGCAGAGUUUAUAAGCAAAAUUAUUAGUAUUUAACAUGGAUGUUAGCUAAGUAUUGCUUAUACCAGUUGAUGCAAAAAGAAAGGAGGAACCACCAGUCAAGAAGAGGAAGAUUCAUGAAAAGAGUAAGAUUCAAAAGUGGAUCAAUCUUGAUGGCCAAUAAUUGUUGAUUAAUUUCUUUUGCGUAUCUUUCAUCUUUAAAUGGGUGAAAAUUGAUUUGAUUUUGUUGUUUCUUCUGUUUCUCCCGUUGAUUUUCUUUUCUAGGCUCAUUGCUAAAAUCAAGUUGCUAGAAUUAUGUGGAAUAAAUGUACAAUUCAAAGACAAGCCAUGACUGUUUCACUAUUUUUGUGCCUUCGUGUUUAUGAGUGAAUAGAGAGAGUUGGAUGCUAUUUGCACCCUAAGUGGUUUCUUUGUGACCAUAAAAUAUAAAUACUUGCACAAACUAAAGCAUAACCGGAAUGUUUUGAGCUCUGGCUUCCUCUGGUGCUGAUAACAUACCAAAAAGAAAAGUAAACCAUAAAUGAGUAUACGGGACAUAUCUCCAGAGAUCAUUUCGAUUGGACGUAAAAUUGUAUCCAGAUCACUGGAGAGUAGAGCAUGAAUGAGAAAUAUAUGUGGUAGUUACUGGUACUGCUUAUUAUGUACAGUCUAAUAUCAUCCAGAAGCCUCAUAAUUGUGCAGAAAUGUUGAAGAACUUACUAAGUAAAAGUGAAAUUGGUAACUUAGUGUUUAGUAGAUAAGCAGCAUGCCUUUCUACCAUAAAAUCUAGAACACAUUGGCAAUUGCACUUACUUUGUCGACUCUACCUACAACAAGAUUACUCUAUGGGGUCAUGAUCAUCUACUAGUAGAACGAGCCCUUCAGGAGAGAAAAUGGGUACGGUGUCCUCAAGCUUAUAUAGUUCAAAGAUAAUAUGAAAGGACAUUUGCGCUAAAGGAAUUUUAUCACUUUUGAGAAUUUCAUACGUGUUGAUAGACAAACAAUAAUAACUUACUUUACAACAUUUUUCCUUCAUUUUUGACAAUUGACUGCUAAAUUUGAUCACAACUUCCUUGGGUCAGAAUCUUCAGUUUGAUUCACCCUCCUCAAUAACUUCAGUGUCCUUCUUGACCGAGGUCUUGCUGUCCAACUCCUGUCUGGAUUCAUCCACAGAGUCUUUGAAUUCAUCCUCACUAUCUUCACCGUCUUUACCGUCCUCCUUCUUCGAUGUCUUGCUGUUCGACCCUUUUGCAGAUUCAUCCUCAGAGUCUUCGGAUAGAUACUCAGAGUCUUCGGAUAGAUACUCAGUGUCCUCAUUGUCCAACGUCUUGCUGUUCAACUCUUCUUUAGAUUCAUCCUCGGAGUUUUUGGUGUCCUCUUCAGAAUCUUCAUUUUUGUCCUUUCUUUUCCCUGGUCAAAAUCCGCACCCACACGCACCCACAUAGUACAGCUCUUGAAUCUCCUCCAUUAUUUCCGCAACGGUAUUCUUUUAUUCCUGUAAUUGGCUCUCAAUUUCUAUUAAUUUAGCAAUAGGAACAUCCUUGAUAGCUAAGUCCUUCUUCCUCAUCAAAUGAUAGAGACUAAAGUCACUGUCAUUAAAAGCACAAGUUGAAUCCACAUCAUCAUCAUUCAAAAAUCUACUUCCCUUAGAUUUUGCAUACUGUCUUAGCUCCCUCUUAACUUUUUUCACAAUCUUUGCAACUUUCCUCAAUCUAUUAUCAAAUUCCCUAUUUUCUCUAAGAGUAACUUUAAAACUUCUUUUGGAGCAGCUUCUUCAACAAAGCACAGAUAAAUGGACAGUGUAAGUGCUCGUCAUCGUGUUGCCAAGUUACAUCAAAAAUAGUCAUGUCUUCAUCAUUGUUAACAUCAACCGAAUCACCUGAAUUUCCCCAUUGUCCACAUUGUUAACAUUAUCAGAAUCAUCUGAAUUUUGCUCACAGUCCAUAUUAUCAGAAUCACUAGAAUUAACUCCAUCAUUGUUAUCACCAACAGAAUUGGUUGAAUUUUCCCCAUCGUCCACAUUGUUAACAUUAUCAAAAUCAGCUGAAUUUUGCUCAUUGUCCACAUCAUCAGAAUCACUCGAAUUAUCUUCAUCAAUGUUCACAUUAUCAGAUUCAACUACAUCAUCGUUAAUAUCACAAUCAACUAAGUCAUCCACGUGGUUCAUACUAUAUACUAUUGGUUGAUUAACUUCAGAACCUAAUGAAUCAUCUAACUUAAUUGAAUCAUUAGGCAAAGAAUCAGCAAACAAUAUAGUUGGAGUGAAUGUUAAGGUACCUGAACAGCUCAAUUUUUUGGAUGAGUUCGUUGAAACGUUUGACGGCACAGAGAAGCUUGAUGCUGAUGAGUUCAAGGAGCUGCUGCCACUGCUGCAUCUCAAUUCGUCCAUAGCGCUUAUCAACUGCUUGCUGAAAAGACAAUCAAUGAAGCCCCGUUAAGACAAUUUGCUCCAACGGCGCACACAAAAUUACACAGACGAUGUCGUUUUUCAGUUCAUUGUGAUAGUACAAAAUAAAAGACCAUUGAAAAAUUCUAUCGAGGCCUAGGCUUAAUGAAGGUGUGUUCUGUGAAAUUAGUAGGCUUUGAACGAUUGAAGAAACAAAUUAUUUGGACGGUGCCGUUUUCAGUUUUUUGCCAUGGACUCGUGGCUGAAUUGAAAGGGUCACUUAAAAAUUCUAACGAGGCCCAAGCGUUUGUUGUGUGAAUUAGUAGGUACCAAGAACGAUUAAAGAAAUAAUUUGCUCAAAUGGCGCUUAUAGGAUUACAUAGACGUCGUCGUUUUCAAUUUUUCUAUCAUGGCUGAGUGAAGAUCAUUUUAAAAUCAUAAAAUGAGUGAAGCUUUUAAUACCUUUCUAAAUAUUCUUUCUUAAAAUAACCUCAGUUUAAUUGAUAAAAUACAAAUUCAUAUAUUAAAAUUAAUCAUCUUCUCAUAAAAUAUUAUCCAAGAAUUUCUUUUAAAAUUGCAUAAGAAAUCUCAACUUUUUUGUUUGUUUUAUUAUUUCAAUCUUCAUAACUCUAAAUUCUUAUACUUAUCUAAAAAAAAAUAUUCAAUUAAAUUUAAAAUAUACUUAUAAAUAAAGAAAUGGGUCGGGUGUGAAAAUUUUGUUAAAAUAAUAAUUUAUUUUAAUUGUUUAAUUGAAUUUCCUUUUAAGAUAAGAAAUGAAUUAAUUUAUGUUAGGCAAUUUAUAAGUAAAUCCAAUUAAAAAGGAGUUUUAAGAGGAAUUUUGAGGGGUGCCAAAAGCCUACUCUUCUAACCGGGCCUAGGCCCAACUAUGGCACAAACGUAGGAUCCAAUAAAGGUACCGUCGUUCUCCUUCUUCCUCCGAGGGCCUACCUCAGCGAAGAUUUAAACGUAGCAUCAAGGUGAUUUUAAUUUUUAGCCUUUUACAAGUUUAUUAGUCUUUUGAUUAGUUAAUUGAUUCCCUUGAAGUGAUUAAUUGGAGUUUCCAUAAUCCAUCCAACACUUUCACAUGACAUCAGCUUGUACACCCUAACGUUAUUCUGUUAAUAAUUCAUGAUUCCUAGCUAGACUAGGGAAAUGCUAUACGCGUUAAUGUUCCCAAGUUCAUCUUUACUGCACAUAUUUCCAUUCGAUGGUUUCAGCUCCCUGGCUAGUUCGGUCAAUGGCUUUUACAAAUUUUGGUUGGAAGGAGAGAAAUGGGGAGAGGAAAGUAAUUUGAAUUCUUUUCUCAUUUCAUAACUCUAAUUUGACCCUAAUUUAUAAAAAUUUAAUUUUCCGUUAGAAUUUAAAAUACAUUAUAAUGUGGACUUUAGAUUUCAAAACAAAGAGUGAUUAAUUUAAAUUCCUCUUCUAUUGGAAGGCAAAACAUCCAAAAUUACCCCUUCAAUCUUUUAUUAACUUGUUUAAUGUUACUAAAUAAUUAUUAUUUAUAAUUUUAUUUUAUAUUAAUAAAAGUUAAAGUAAUGAUUUAAAAAAUUAAUUAAAUAACUUUAUUUAUUUAAUUAAUUUGCAAAAAUAGAAAAUAUAAAUUUGAUAGUCAUCAAAAAGUCGCCGUUGCCGCCAUCAACACUAGUGUGUGGGACAUCACUACUAGUACCGUUGGACUCGUCGGCCAACGGCAAAUGUCAAUACAUUAUCAUAGAUGUCAAAAGAUGGAUUUAUUUUCUUCAAAUCCAAUUAAAAAAGUUUGAAAACUUUCUAACUUUCUCAAAUUUGGGCAAACAUCAACUAUUUCGACCAAAUAAACUGCUUCAAUCUAGAGAUCAUCAAUUUUUAAUAAUUUUCAUAUAAUUCUCGAGUUGAAAUGAGAUGGUAAGGUGGUGGCUGGCAGCAAUAGGCCGUAGCUCUAGCAAAUUUGCUUCCUUUUCAGUUUUUCAAAUAAAAUUUUAAAAUUAUAAUAUAAUAAUUAAGUAAUUAUUUAUAUUAUGUCAUAAUUUAGUUAGAAACAAAUUAAGUUAAAUUUAUUACAACAUAAAUUACCUUAAUAAACCUCUAAAUAGAAUUUAAUUAUAAAUAUAAUUAUAUUAUUGAAAAUAGUUUUUAUUAGUUCUUUGUAUAGUAUAUUAAAUAAAUUUAUAGGUUAAUUUUUUGAAUUAUACUUAUGCUAAAUAUUGAAAGUUUAACACUAUAUUAGGCCGAACCCACUAAUCAACUCACUACAAACAUUAGUAUAGUGAAAGAGAUCUUAGACGCUUUACAAAGUAAUUAAUUUCAUGGAAGGCAAAAUGUGAGUGAGUUGAGCAUUGAGUCUUUUGAUCUGCUCAAUGAUCCCAAUCCAAUUGCAGAACUAGAGGUUUUGAUUUAGUAACCGCAAUAACAGACAAAAGAAUAAGGGAGUGUAGUUGUGAUGAAGCUGAGAGUUACCCUAAAGGAACAAGGAGUCCUAAAGGUACAAGGAAUCGCAUGAUGAGUCUAUGGCCCUGUUUGGGAUUGAGGUGAUGUAUGUUUUAAACUACAGUUGCUGCUGUGAAAAAAAAAACUAUAACUAUCAAAUAAAAGUUAAUAAUAUGUAGUAAAUAUAAAUUUUAACAAAAUUAUUAAAGAUAUAAUAGAUUUUUCAUUAUAUAAAUGAAAAAUCAUAUCAACAUAGCUUACAAGUUACAGCAGUUAGUAUUUAUCAAACACUUUAAUACUGUAACUUUUAAGUUACAACUGCUCAAUCUCAAUCCUAAACGCACCCUAUAAAUAAGGGCUAGAGUUUAAAAUUAAGGAUUUGCUUAUUUGUCUACCGGACCUGAUAACCUUCUUACUUUUUUUUUUGUUUUUUUUGUCUCUCCGAGACUCUCUGAAAUAUCUAGGCUUUUUCUUGUUCUUCAAAUUGAAACAAUGGCAGUAGCUGCUCAAGCUCAAUAGUCCGAUAGUUUGUCAGCGAACAGCCGAUUUGCCACGGGUACCCCUUACCAGAACUACCUCUUGAAUUUGUUCAAGAAAGCCAUAAGAGCAACAAUUAGAUAUUGCUCGCAAUCAAGGAAAAUUAAAGAGAAAUCUGCAAAAUUGAAAAAUGAAGAGAAAUUGCAGCGGGCGUUCCUAAAAGCAGCAAAACUAGAGAUGAAGCUUGAAAAGUACUAUAAUGAAAAAGAGAUUAUAAAGUUGGUUCUGGAAGACUAUAUGCACAUCGAUGGUAAUGAUGCUUGGAAGAAGAAGCUAAGGAAAAUAGAUAUCACAUUGUUGGUCAACUCGCUCAAGUUGGGAUAUUAAUGAAGGCAGUUUAACUCAAAGUUUCAGCUUUUAAUAAUAAAAACAUCAGUUUUCUAUUUGUUCUGAAGGGAUUCCUUUAUACCCAACUCAGGUUUUAUUUUUAGCUUUUUAAAAAGUUAGUAGGCUCUUCCGGAACUAACUUGAUUUUUGGAUAUAUGGUUCUUCGAAUAAGAAAUAAAUAGCCUUGGAAAUCAUACCAACUGUCAUUGUGAGCAUUUAAUUUCUAGUAUAAUGAUUUAGACGAUGUAAUGGGUUGAACCAAACUGUUUAAGAGAAGCAAGAGAUUAAUAUGCACAAUUACCAAACAAGAUCGAUCAAGAAUGAAUCUAAAAUUAUCUAAGAAUCAAAUCUGAAUCACAAGCAAUCAAAGAACUGAAAAUAAGAACUGGAAAGAAUCAAAAGAGAUACAUGGUGCAUUUACGUGGUUCUGCUAUAAGUGACCAGCAUUUUUUUUUUUUUUGAGUUGCAAUUCGAAAGAUUUCCCCGGGAAAAAUAGACAGAGGGAAUUACGAUGAUGAGAUUAAGACCAAGAACCACUUCCAACUCUCUCUAUUCACUCAUAAACGAAGGUGCAAAAGUAGUGAAACAAUCAUGGCUCAUCUUUGAAUGAUGUAUUUAUUCUGCUUUUUUUUUGUCUUUUUUGCACAUAUCCUUAUUACACAAGGGGAGGAAGAAUGGAUCAGAAUCUCUUGUAAAAUGAUUUAGUAAAUGAGCCCAGAAGAGAAAUUAACAGGAAAGACAGAAGAAACAACAAAAUCAAUUUUCUUGAAAGACACGCAAAAGAAAUUAAUCCACAAUUAUUGGCCACUAAGAUUGAUCCAUUUUCGAAUUUUCAUUUGCUUUAGGAUCCUUUUCAUUUAGGAUAACUCUCAAAUUUUUAAAUAAUUAUUUAAAUAAGGUAAUCAAACUAUUAGCGUAAUUCUAGAAAAAAGAAUAAAAAAAAUUAUUUAAUGUGUUAAUCUUCUUACUCCUGUCAAUGAAUGCUGCUUCAGAUGGCUUGUCAAUGGGCUACUAUUACUCUUACUUCGUAGGAGGAGCCAUGACAACAUAUUUUUCCACCACAAUUUCACCUGCACUGUCCUUAUAUUAGUUUAUUUUUACAUAAUACAUCUGCACUAAAACUCAAAGGUUCUGCUCUGUCAAUAAAUAUUAAUUGUUUAUCUGUUUGCUGUAUUGUGAAGAACUCACAUGAAUUUUUUUUUAAAUAAGUAAAACUUAGCAUAGUGUUAUGGACCGCCUAAGAUGCUAGCCCAAUUGCCCACAAUUUCGGGCUAGAGAGCCAACACAAGGCCAAAAGUGCUAGCUUGGCCCAAUUCUAGAAACUUCUAGCCAACUCUAGCACAAAUGAGCUUGUAAAUAUUCUAGAAUACUCCAUGCAUUUCCAGCACAUGUAAAUAUCUAGAAUUCUAGGCACAUGGUAGAAUUCUCUAGAAUCUCUAGAGCUUGUCAAGCCUCCCCUAUAAAUAUGGGAUGGCAUUAGGCAUUUGCAUCCAACAAACAAAACAACAAGCAUUGUAAUCUCUCUUUGUGCAAUACAAGUUUUCUUAUUCGGCUCCAUUGCUCUCUUCUCUAGUUCGAGAAGCUCUAGGCUUACUUAACAACAUUCGGCAAAGUUGUCUAAGUGUCGCACGGGUUAGCUGCGCAAAAUACUCAUCCCGUGACAAGUGGUAUCAGAGCUAAGGUUUGCACGCACGCAAGUUAGCUCACGAGCAAUGGCCAACCCUUCAAACGUAGCACAAUAGGGUGUUGUUGGUGUGGACGUUCCACCGGAACCAAGCCGCUGCCGGGAGGGAGAACGCGCCCAAGGCAAGACUCACGGCAAGUCCAAGGCCCCAUCCGUGGAUGCGCUGGAGCCUCGUGUGACUACUCUCGAAAUCACAUUGUCCGCUGCUCAAGAUAGCCUCGAGGGAUUGGAGGAACGAGUGGACGGUCUCUGGGAGAAUACGCCGAGUUCACGGUGGCAACGAAAGCUUUCAUCCAAGAGCAAGCGAACACUCUCUGAGGUGAGUUUCGUGCUUUUCAUGAUGAGUUGCUAGAACUUCGUAGUUUUGUUCAAGAAGAACUAAGCGUUGUCCGUACGGAAGUGGAUGAAGUCCGCUCGGAUUGGGCAUGGCACAAGCGCACACUCUUCGCAAGUCCAGCUUUCGCAAACUCGAGUGAUGCGCGUCGCAUUGACGUGCCAAAGCCCGACACUUACGAUGGCACACGCAAUGCCACAAUCGUGGAUAACUUCCUAUUCAGGCUGGAUCAAUACUUCGAUGUCAUGGGUGUCCGAGACGAGGCAUCGAAAGUGGGCACUGCACCCACCUAUCUUAGAGGCGCUGCACAACUAUGGUGGCGUCGCAAGCAUGGCGAGAUGGGCAAGGGCAUUUGCACCAUCGACACUUGGGCCGACUUCAAGCAAGAACUCCGAAAGCAGUUCGCCCCAAGCAAUGCGGAGAAGGAAGCGCGAGCGCGCUUACGUCGCCUCAAGCAAACGGGUAGCAUUCAGGACUACAUCAACGAGUUCACUACCUUUAUGUUGGAGAUAAGCGACAUGUCCGACAAGGAUUCGCUCUUCUACUUCCAAGAUGGCCUCAAGGAUUGGGCCAAGACCAAGCUUGAUAGGUGUGGUGUUCAAACACUUGACGACGCCAUCGCUGUUGCGGAGUCGUUCACCGAAUACUCCGCCCAGCUCAAGGACAAGAGGUCUAGCUACGACCAAGGUGAGGGAGAGAGUCAUGAGGACAACGACUGCAAUUGCAAGGAGUGGAGCAAGAAAAAGCCUCCAAGCGGCAAGGGCGGGCAAAAUAAGUCCGAGAAGCCACCCAAGCCUCGAAGCCCAUGCUUCAUUUGCAAUGGCCCUCAUUGGGUGCGCGACUGCCCGGAGAAAAAGUUGUCGAACGCUCUCGUGGCACAAUUCAAGGGCCAACACACACCGGCUGCGGAGGAACCUUAACACAACUUGGGUUCGCUCCAACUCCUUAGCACACUCGUGAGCCAAACGCCAGCACCUACAAGGAAAGGGCUUAUGUUCGUAACUGUGCUCAUCAAUGGCCGAACCGUUCGUGCGCUCCUUGACACCGGAGCAACGCACAACUUCAUCUCCGAAGAAGAGGCUAAGUGUCUAGGCCUCAAGGUAACGCAACAUGGAGGCACCAUCAAGGCUGUAAACUCACCCGCCAAGCCAUUUACGGGAACCACACGAGGCGUACAUGUUACGCUUGGGACAUGGAAUGGGAAGCUUGACUUCUCGAUUGUGCCGAUGGAUGACUUUGCAAUGAUCCUUGGCAUGGAAUUCUUCGACAAGGUACAUGCCUUCCCACUUCCCGCAACGAACUCCCUUAGCAUCUUCAAUGGGAGUAAGGCAUGUGUGGUACCGGUCGAGCGCGCACAACCCGCAGAAAAGGUGCUCUCGGUCAUGCAAUGCAGACGAGGAUUCAAGAAGAAUCCGGACCACUUGGUCUCCAUCUGGCAACACCACAAGGGAGAGGAUUCUGAAAGCCCUCCAAGCCAAGUCCCACAACAAGUACGAGUCGUCCAUGACAAAGGUAAGGACGUUAUGCCUCUGAAGCUUCCAUCGAGACGAGUGGUGGAGCAACGCACUAAGCCAUCCGAGCAUGAGGAGUUGUGGAAACACAAGAGGGGACGCCACAACACCAACCGAAAGAAGGAAACGACCACAUGCGGAGCAAGUGGCGGAACCUCCCCAAGAGUGAAGCACAAGAAAACUAACGACAAAUCGCGGAACAAGUCCCUAAAAGAGCAAGGACGAGAUUGCGACGAGGACGCCGCGAGUUUAAGUGGGGGAGGAUGUUACGGACCGCCUAAGAUACUAGCCCAAUUGCCCACAAUUUCGGGCUAGAGAGCCAACACAAGGCCAAAAGUGCUAGCUUGGCCCAAUUUUGGAAACUUCUAGCCAACUCUAGCACAAAUGAGCUUGUAAAUAUUCUAGAAUACUCCAUGCAUUUCCAGCACAUGUAAAUAUCUAGAAUUCUAGGCACAUGGUAGAAUUCUCUAGAAUCUCUAGAGCUUGUCAAGCCUCCCCUAUAAAUAUGGGAUGGCAUUAGGCAUUUGCAUCCAACAAACAAAACAACAAGCAUUGUAAGCAACUCAAGCAUUGUAAUCUCUCUUUGUACAAUACAAGUUUUCGUAUUCGGCUCCAUUGCUCUCUUCUCUAGUUCGAGAAGCUCUAGGCUUACUUAGCAACAUUCGGCAAAGUUGUCUAAGUGCCGCACGGGUUAGCUGCGCAAAAUACUCAUCCCGUGACAGUAGGCUUCCUUUUUUUCCUGUAGGUGGACAAUUUCAUGACUUGUUUUAUCCUGUCAGAUUUUACCGCUCUUUCCUUCAAGUUGACACGGGACCAAGUUUCGUUUUAUCACUUGGAAAUUUGAUUCUAUAUUCUUUAGUGGUUUUUCCAUCACGAUUCCAGCUUAGGUAACUGUAUCAUUGGUAUCUUCCGCAUGUACUUGAAGAUAAAUAUGAAGAAUGGUUCAGUAGACAAAUGAUGUAAGUGACUAAGUGCAUUGUAUGCAAAAUGAGCUAACAUGUAUAUCAUUUAAUUACUUAGAGAGAGGACCUUGAGCAUGAUGCCUUAUGAACUACAUGGUUUCAUGAACUACAUGGUUUCACACUCCAAGCUCAUGACACGGGCCUUAAAGCCCCUGAAAGAUGUUCAAUUCUCGUCUAUCUAUUGUGUAAGACAAGAAAAUCAUCCAUUGAAAAGUAUGUGCUUCCAACAUCCUGCUGCCGUUUAUCAUAGUUGCCAGAUUAAUUUCAGGGUCCUGUUCUUCACAGGAAUAAAAAAAGAAAAAGAACAACCUUAAUUUUGUUAUUUCAUUUUGGUUCCCCUUUCAAAUUAAGGGAUGAGAGGAUCAUAUAUUUCUGAUUUAGGUUGGUUUGGGUUACUAAAAGGCUUGGCUUAGGUUACAAUGAAACUAUUCAUUAUAGUAAAGCCCACUGAUAUUAAUUGUCAUAAGUAAAAACAUUUAUCAAUGAGAUUAUAGUUGUGGUGAAACUAGAAAAAAAAAUUAAGUUACGUGGCUAUAAUAACACAUCAAGUACCACAUAAUUUAACAUAUAAACUUUGUAAACAUAAUAUUACAUUUUUUAUUUAUUUAAUGAAAGGCAGAGUAUUAAUAUAUUUAGGAUCAGGCUACGGUGCCACAGUUGCACCUAAGGUUUUCCCAUAUAUUUAAUGUUGAGAGAGACAAAUUAAGUUUAUAUUUCAAAUAUGAAAUGACAUUUGAUGUGACACGAAUCUUUGCGAAAUGAUAUUCUUCCUACUAGAAGUCCACUGAAAGCCGGAAACUGCAGCAUAAUCAAGCUCUGUAAGGUAGUAAGGCACAAGCUACGAAGAAAUAUAUUUUAAAAAUUAGAGUACGAGGUUUACACAAUAAAUUUUAAUUAAGGAUACUUUUAUCAUUGAUGGAUGUUUUAAAAAAGUUUUAUAAUUUUUUAACAGAAUUAUUAAGACAAGAUGUGUUAAGAGAUAUUUAGAGAGAUGUUAAUAGUCCCACUCAUUAGAAAAUGGGAUCUGGCUACGGUACCACAGUGGUACCGUGCCACUUCUUUUGUUUUUUAUGGUUGUGUUAUUGUAAAUUUUCAUGUAACCCCUUUCAUUCAUUUUUAUUUAAACUUUGUUUCAUAAGUAUUAAGUUAAUUUCUCCCAAACCCGUGAAUCAUUCAAUGGCCGAUCAACAGCAAAUCAGCUCUUCCGGCAGCUGUCGCUGGUAGUAAAAGACAGAGGAAAUUGUGGGGAACAAAACUUAGGUGGUGGCGUCACCGGAAACCGGUAAAAUGGUGGCAAAUUGAUCCGGCUUUUCACAGCUUCGAUCGGCAGCUUUUCGAACACUUUCCGGCGACAAGGAUGGCAUGGAGAUGACCGGCAUCGCACGAGCUUCCGAUCGGUACCAACCUUGGCCGGCGGAGUGGCCGGAAACGAAAACAGCAUGCGGGUCGGGUUUGCGGGUUCCGUUUGACCCGAUUCUUUUUGCUACAAGGAUGACAUGGAGAUGACCGGCGUCGCACAAUCUUUCGAUCGGUACCAACCUUGGCUGGUGGAGUGGCCGGAAAUGAAAACGGAAUCCGGGUUGGGUUUACAAGUUCGGGUUGAUCCAAUUCUUUUCCUUGUUAAUUAUUUAAUCUCAAAAUUAUAAAGAGUGGGGUAUUGUGAUAUAGAUAUAAUAUAGCAUAAAAAUUUAUAAAUAAUAAAUAAUACAAGGUGCUAAUUAAAAUAUUUAUAUGGAUGUAGUAGACAUUAACUUAAUAUUUGUAAAGCAAAGCUUAAAUAAACAUGAGUGAAGGGGCUAUAUAAAAAAUUUAUAAUAACACAGCCAUAAAAAACAAAAGAAGUGGCACGGUACCACUGUGGUACCGUAGCCAGACCCUAGAAAAUGAUACCAUCAAUUAUAUUAAUUAUAUUUACAUUAAUAUAGUUAAUUGUAAGUUACAAGAAAUAUAACUUAACAAAAGUCAUAUUACAGUGGCAAUUUGGGAUACCUCGAGUUGAAUUCGGAAGGUCCAAGGUCGCCUCCAUUUUUCACCAGUCGGAUGCUCAAAAAUUUAUACAAUGACAAAAAUAAGCCAGUUUCAAAAUCAUCAAUAAAUUAUCAUUGCCGUAAACCUACAUUUUAAAAACUUUCUUUUCUAAAUGUAACAACAUUUUUUAAAGUUAUCAAUACAUUAUCACAGCUAUAAAUCUCCAUUUUUUAAAAUUUCUUUUCUAAAAUGUAACAACAUUUUUCAAAGUCAUCAAUAAAUUAUCGCUGUCGUAUACCUCCGUUUUUGGAAAUUUCUUUUUUAAAUGUAACAACUUUUUUUUAAGUUAUUAAUGAUGUGUUUUGUAAAUAGAGGAUAGGUUUAGAUGGAAAACUGAGUAAAUUUUCUAAUUAAAUUUUGUUAAUAUAUUUAAUUUUCUUUCUCUUUCAAAAUUCAAAAACGAUGUGCAUGUAAACUAAUUAUUUGAUUGCUUUUUGGGACACGUAUUAAAACAAUCUUAUAAUGAGCAUAUUGCUAAUUAUGUUAAUGGAUUUGGUAUACACGUGUUAAGCUCAUGAUGACAGUGUCAUAAAAUGUGCACGGAAAGCCAUAAUUUUAUGAUCACGUUAUAUAACAUAUCUCAUAUCAUACCCAUUUAUUGUCUGCACCUCAUGACUCUUAACUUUGGUAAUCAAUAACUCACAUAAAUGAUAAAUCACGAAAAACGAUUUGUAAUCUUAAAUAAGAUAUUGGGGGAAAUUUACUAAUUAAGUUUAAACUUUGAACUAAGGGUUUAUUAUUGUGGGGCUGUAUAAUUUAAAUCUGGAACGGGAGUCACAGUAAGAUUUAGUUACAAAAUAAUGGUUAUCUAUGUGUAUACAAACUCUACAAGUUCAUUAAAUGCCUAGAUUUUUUCUUCAAUAUUAAGCAGAGUUUAGUUUUCUUGACUCUGUUUUAAUAUCUUGUGUCUGUAAUCAAAAUUUUUGGAUUGAUCAAUUUUUUAUGGAUUAAAUUCUCGACGAUUAUAUUAAUAUUGAACGAGUGUAGUUUUAUUUUUUAAUUUACUUUAAUAUCUUGUGUUUAUAAUCAAAAAUUUUAGAUUGAUUGCUUUUUGAAGGAUUAAAUUCUCGACGACCAUAUUAGAAAAAGUAUAAAAAUAUUGUUUUAGGAAAUGUUUUAGAUUUAAAAUUGACUAUUUUCUUCUCUUUCAAAAUGAUAUGUGCAUACACUUACUUGAUCCUACACAUAUUAAAACAAUCUUACAAAAAAAUAUAUUGCCAAUUAUAUUAAUAGAUUGAUAUGUUAAAUAUCCCUAAGCAGUAAGCACUAUCAUCAAGUAUCCAUGUAAUCAUAUUAUUAAUUAUUUCUACAAUAUAAUUAAUAAUAAUUAUUCUAAUACAUUAUAUAUUACUUGGAGAUUGUUAGUUUUCUCCUAUUGACCCACUCACCCCCUUAUUGUUUCAUAAUAGCCAAUAAUCCGUAUAGUACCAUAAUUUGAUUUCGAUAAUAGGAUAAGUAAUGUAUAUUGAUUUCAGUAGGGGAGAAAACUGACAAUAAUCUGUUGGGAAAGAAACUCACACAAGCAGUUACAAAUUAAGCGAAAAUAAAAUUAUUUCCCUCUUUGUGUGACUACAAAAAAAAAUAGACAGAAAAAUAAACCAACAAAUUUAAAGUAAUAAAUCAACCAUAAAAGACUAAGAUUUUUACGUAAAAAAUCCAAAACGAGAAAAAUCAUGGGACUGCAGUAUGAAAAAUCAUGUAUUAGAAUAAUUAUUAUGAACUAUAUUGUCAAAUAAUAACCAAUGAAAAGAUAAAAUAAAAAAAAUCAAGAGUAGUAGGAAUAUAGAGGGUGAUACAAAAGCUUACCCUCAUUAUCCUCAAAAUUUAGGAGAAAACGAAGUUAAUUUCACUUUUCGAUUAUGCAAUGAAAGAUUGAAAAACUUUGCCCCGAAUUGUAACAGCCGGCAAUGUUCUUACUUUUCUUCUCUCGUCUUUUGUGCCAUUCCCGUUAGGUCAGCUGCUUGCUUCUUAAAGUCAAAUUUCAUAGCAAUUUUUACAUAGUCCUAACUUAUUUCUUUUAAUUACUUAAAUGCUCAAAUGAAUAGAACUUAAGCUUGGGCCACCCAAAUGAGAUGGACCCAACAUAAUCCUACAUUACCAGACUUCCCUAAAUACAACAAACCAAUGGUUAUUUUUAAGUGUGUUAUUAGUUUGUUUCAAGUUCAAGCGUGUUAUAAUUCAGAGGUUGGUUUGUCUCCACUGAUAGUUGCGUCGGACUCGUUAUGUGUUGUUUAAUGAAUUUAAGGUACCCGUCAUACUUGUAUGGAAUUAAUCUAUAUUAUUUUUGAUAUUCUACACUUGUACUAAAGCAGGAUUAAAUUUAAACUCUAGAUUUCUUAUAUCAAUAAAGAGAAUUUAGCAUGUGAACGAACACUUGUAAGUUUUUUGCUUCCUCACACAACAAACACCUCUACCCUUUUUUUUUUUUCCCCACAAAUGUCUACCUUUUUAUUUCUUAAAGAAAAAGAUUAACAACUCUACUGUUUUGUGUACAUGGUUUUUUUUUUUUUUUUUGAAAGUGUAGAUGAUUUUUUUAAAAAAAAAAAAUUCGUUCUCAAUCUUUAGUUUGUUUUCGAAGGAACGUCAUGUGUUACUGCUACGAUCAAACAAAGUAAAUUGUACUCAAAGUUUGGUAGAAAAAUACAGUAAAAAAUACAGCCCACCAACCAACUUUUCGAUUUUUUUGUACAUAUAAUAUUAAGUAUACGUAAGUACCUCACUUCCUAAGUUUCCUCUAAUUUCGGUUGCAAAUGGAAGAAUUAGUUGAUGUGGAUGUUGAAUCAUAAAAGAUUAAACUUAAUUUUUGUUUCAUCAAUUAAAGGAAACGGGUCCUACUUAUUUAAUUAUCAUAUUCUUAGACAACAUUAAGCACUAAGGCAAACGAAAAAAAAAAAGAGUGUUUUAAUUUUUUAUAACACAAAAUUGAGAGCUCAAUCACGCGUCCAACAAAAUGAUUCUUCUUGCUACCAAUCAUAAUCGCAGCCUAUCCUAUAAAUGACUAUCUGAAUUUUGUGUGAUUUUUAAUGAAGCCGGCUAAGAUUUUUUUUUUUGGUAUGAUUCGAUAGAACAUGUUUUGAUCAACUACAAAUAUUAAUAGGCAACGCGUUUAAUAUGCCUUUUGUGGCCUGCCCUGUUCAUUUUAUUGAACACGUCUCUUUUUGUUUACUCAGUAUUUGCAACCAAAUUUAUAAAUAUAUUGCUUUGGAAUUGUACUUGGUUAGAGCUGGCAAAACGGGUCAUCGGGUCGUGUUCGUGUCGUGUCAGCUUCGUGUUGUGUUAAAUUUAGGUCGACCCAAACCCGACCCAUUUAAUAAUCGUGUCAAAAUAUUGAGACCCAAACCCGACACGGAAAAAUAAUCGGGUUACCCAAUAACCCGUUUAAUAUCUAUAUAUUGAACAGAAGUUACAUAAAAUAUUUACACACUAUCAUACAUACGCAUGUACAUAAAUACAUACAUACAUACAUACAUACAUAAUUUAUCGAUAUUAUAAAAUAUAUAUAUGUACCAAUAUAUUACUCAUUUACACUAUUGAGGUUUUAAUUAUAUAUAUAUAUAUAUAUAUAUAUAUAUAUCAAUAUUAUAAAAUAUACAUGUCUAUCAAUUUUUACACAUUUACACUAUUGAAGCUCUAAAUGUAUGUAAAAUUUUAUAAAUAAAACACUGUGUUUAUAUUCUCCAUUUUAAAGAAUAAAAAAAAUCAUCUCUAAUAUUUGAGUUUUAAUUAUAAGAAUAUGUAAAUUAUUUUAAAAUAGAAAAUAUAAUCGGGUCAUUGAUCGGGUAAAUGGGUCAAAAAUUUUAACCCAAACCCGACACGGAAAAAAAUCGUGCUGACCCAGACCCGACCCAUUUAAUAAUCGUGUUAAAUUUGACGAUCCAUACCCAUUUAUUUAUGUCGUGUUCGUGUCGGGUAAUCGGGUCGUGUCAAAUUUUGCCAGCUCUAUACUUGGUACUGAUAUUGGUACAAGAAUAAUCUAUUGUGGUUACUAAUUACAUUAGCUACAAUUAAUAGAUAUUGAAAUUGGAGGCCAAUAACCAAAAUGCUAGAUAUCAAGCAAUUUGAUUCUUAGAAAAGAAUUAUUAAAAGAUUAAAAAAAGAAGAAGAAGCUAAUAUUGUGAUCUGAAUAGAGUGACAAUUGGAUUUCCUAGAGCUAUCAAUUCAUAAUGGCAUUAUGCACGUAUAAAUGAAUAUAGAAUGGAUUGAGAUAAACUAAAUAAAUAAAAGCAAAGUCGAGUUGAAUUUGUUAUAGGUAAUGAACUGAGGCGAGUCCUUCAUCUUCUAGAGAUGACAAAAGAAAUGAACUUCGACAUUUAAGUCUGCAUUUGGUUUAAAAGAAAAAAAAGAGAGAAAAAACAAAGAAUAUCUUAGAAAUUAGUAAUAUUUUAGAAAUGAGUAGAAUAUUUAUGAAGGUCUGUAAAUACAAUAAUACUAAAUAAAUAACUGAUUUUUUUCUUUUUUUUUAUUGAAUUUUUUUUUGGAUGAAGUGAAAAACUCACCACUAAAUACUAACAUUUGCUGAGCCACUCGGCCUUUGGCCGAGUGGUCAGGCAGUUCGAAUCCCCACAAAUAUAUUGUGGGGAUAUUUCAUUCCUUAAUUAAAUUUGAGUGAAUGCAGUCUUCUCCUUUAUCAAAGUGUAAGGAGUAGAUAUCCCUCGAAUAUUUGUGAGGGUUAAAUAUGGGCAGCGCUCUUUUAGUAUUGAUGUAAGUUAGUCCUAGUAAUAGUCUAAUUUAUAAAUAUCAAUUAUAAUCUCAUGUAAUAUGAGUUGUGAUUUGAGCAAUAAUCUCAUGUAAUAAAAAAAAACUAUCAUUUGCUUUUUAUUUUUACUUGAACUUGCGGGAUUGUAGGAGUAAAGUGCAUUAACUACCAGUCAAAUUCUACCUUUCGUCAAUUGAAUGUCUUUAUAAUGGCCAUAAAUAGAAGUAUUUAUAAUUAUUAAUUAGGUAAAAAUUAAAAUAACUGAUAUUUCUUUCUAAAGUUCCAUUAAGUCGAAGGGAAUUCACAACUUAGGUGUUGAAUUUCAUUUAAUUUAUCAUGGGCGUAACGCACUAUCUCCUGUUUUGGGAGUUCUCUGUCUUGUCAUUUAAGAUACUUGGAAAGUGAUUUUUAAUAAUAUAUUUAUCAUAAACUAUGAACAAGUAAAUGAACGUGGAUGGCUGAUAAAAAAACUCGCACAUAAAAAUCUUGUGUCAUAUGUACAUUUGUAACGAUAAAUAAUUGAGAUUUAAUUUCACGUUCCUAUCCUUGUAUGAUUACCGAUCACAAGUUCACAACCACAAAAAAAAAAAAAUUCACAUCACCAUUCAGCCCAAUAUAGAACCGUAGAAAUUCAUGGCAAAAAAAAUAAAAAAAAUCCAAUUUACAAUAUAAAAAGUAAUCAUGAUAUCAUGAAUUUUAAGAAAAUGUUUGGUGUACAGCAAGACGAAAUAAAAACGAGAGAAAUAAGAAAGAAAAGAAAAGAGAGAGGAAAUAAAUUUCUCUCGUCUUUUUCUACACCUAACAUUACUUUGAAUUUAAUUACAGUAUUAUUUUUUUUCAACACAAUAUCUUUUUCUACACCUAACAUUAAUCUGAAUUUAAUUGCAGUGUUAUUUUUUUUCAACACAACGUCGUAUCAUGACUGAACCUAAAUUCUAUGAUUGUAGAGAAAAUAAGAUAAUUGAUCUUUUUUUAUAUUGAAAAAAACGGCAGAGUUGAUUUUUAAUUUCUUUCAUUUUUUUUCUAUUAUAUACACUACAGUAUUUUAUUAUAGUUACAAAUAAAUAUGAUAAUAAAAAAUUAAAAACCAUUUAUUUCCCACCAAAUCUUUAUCUGCGUCUUUCUCUCUCUGUUGCCUGUUCAAAGCUCAACAAGAAAAGGAAGGACCAAAAAAAAAAAAAAAAAAAAGGAGGAAAUGCAACAGAGGGGAGUUAAUGAUUCUCACGUCCCCCAGCAGCCCCCACUCUGUUUCCUUGAGCCAAACUCCAAAAUCCAAAAAUCUCUGCAACAAUUACAAAUCUUUGACAACACAACACCCUUCUUUUUCCCAAUUAUUAAAAUAAUAUUUUCAAGAAAACGACUCUCUC